GAGUUUGAUCCUGGCUCAGAUUAAACGCUGGCGGCAUGCCUUACACAUGCAAGUCGAACGGCAGCGCGGGGCAACCUGGCGGCGAGUGGCGAACGGGUGAGUAACGCAUCGGAACGUGCCCUGGAAUGAGGGAUAACGUAGCGAAAGUUACGCUAAUACCGCAUAUUCUGUGCGCAGGAAAGCAGGGGAUCGCAAGACCUUGCGUUCUGGGAGCGGCCGAUGUCGGAUUAGCUAGUUGGUGGGGUAAAGGCCUACCAAGGCGACGAUCCGUAGCUGGUCUGAGAGGACGAUCAGCCACACUGGGACUGAGACACGGCCCAGACUCCUACGGGAGGCAGCAGUGGGGAAUAUUGGACAAUGGGGGAAACCCUGAUCCAGCGACGCCGCGUGGGUGAAGAAGGCCUGCGGGUUGUAAAGCCCUUUCGGUAGGGACGAAAGCUCUCGACCUAACACGUCGGGAGGUUGACUUAACCUACAAAAGAAGCACCGGCUAACUCUGUGCCAGCAGCCGCGGUAAUCA
rnacentral:rRNA from 1 species